UACCCCAUUUUUAAGGCAUAAAUGUAUGUAUUUUUAUUUUUAAGCUGAGUUAUAUCUGAGAAAGAACACAUACUUUCAUCAGAAAUGAUAAAAACAUGGUUUGGAGAAAUGUUACUACAAAAGAACAACACGUCAGACUUUCAUGUACUGUAAGUUCAAAGAGACUGUUUCAUGCUGAGUAAGCACAAAGGAAGGAUUGGUCCUUGGAAAACACUGAAAGCAGCUCUUCUCCAUGAGACUUAAGAAAACAGAAUCAAGUGAAUCUAGAAAGAGUUACCAACCUGAAUUUAAAGGGUGGAGAGAAUGAUGUAAAAACCUUGUGGCCGUUGCAGAUUCUCAUUCUGGAUCAAAGGAAGGGUAAAGGCUGUGUCUGUUAGCCAACACUACAGUGUUAUGAGUACACUAAAGCUCCUGGAAGGAUGCAGCAUUCAAGGUUCUGUCUUGGAAGCAGAGACUGGGCCCUCACCAGAUGCUGAACUUGCUGAGCACCUUGAUCUUCCACUUCACCUUCAUCAGAACUGCAUACGUCUUAGAUAGGAGAAUGCUAUUGGAAUUUCUGGUCUCUGCAUUGAGGGGCUGUUGGUCUUUUGGAAAGAUGUGCUUAUUGAAUGGGACAAGCCAGAUCCAAGAGGCAUCGCUAGGGCUACUCCCAGACCUACUUGUGAUUCAAGGCUGUGCUUCUCCUCUGCACAUGAGACAGACUGUUUGCUGUGAUUGCACUUGCCAUCUUAUGCAGAAAUGACCUGAAGACAGACUGAAACAACAUGUUCUACAGCCUGAAAAUAUCUACCUUGACGUACAGUUUCAUUAAUGCUGUUGUGAUCAGACUGGGCAAAAAUUAGCAUAUGUUACUAACUAAUCUACUUCGAGUGCCAAUUCUUAAUAAAAACAUAAAACAAUAAAAGCAAUUCAGAAAAUA